GAUUUUGAUUUUUUUGUUACUCUUUCUUAUUACCAGCGAAGCAAAUAAAAGACUUUUGAAUUGUGGGAACACAAAGUUGUUGGAGCAUAAUUCAUCUCUUUGAGGUAUGUUGCAGAUUCAACCUUCUGUGUGUUUGUACAAAUUUAUAAAAUAAAAGUUUGUUGUCUCUUGCUGCAUCUAUUGAAUGUUUUUAGAAGAUUUCCAGAAAGCAUUUGUUGCUGCAUCUAUUGAAUGUUGAAUAUUGAAACUCGUAUGGUAACACAUUUUGAAACUUUUUUGCUUGGAGUCUUGUUUUGAUUAGGAAUGUUGAUAUUUUUGAUAGGGUCUUGAAUUUGCUUAUGAGCCUUUUGUUGCUUGUGAAACUGUCUAGUGUUUAUAAUAAUUUCAGGAAGCAUUUGUUGUGUUAUUUCAGGAAAGCCUUCCAGAAAAGUUUGAAAUUUUUUUUCCUUGUUUACGCAGGAUAGAAACAAGAUGGGAGAUUCAGUACCUCUAAAACUAGCACUGCCAGAGCUGAAGUAUCCUAUUGGUUCACAGCCAAAGCAAAAGUCAGCAAUCAACCAAUAUUCCGGCUCAGAGUAUAUCUCCAUUGUUGACAGCAUCCUAAAACCAGAUGAGAUGAUAAGAGUCCGAGGAUCAUUUCUGGGACCUAUAAUGAAGCUCAGUGAGAGAGGAUUGAAGUUAUCAGCAAAGAUGGUCUACGCCAUUCUCACUAGAAGCAUCGUUUCUGUCAAGGAGAAUGAAGCCUGGUUCCAUUUCGGUGCGCAGCCAAUGAGGUUCUCUAUAAGAGAAUUUCAUAUGAUGACAGGCUUGAAAUGUAGUGGUGCAUUAGAAGGACCACGAAGGGAAACCAAUAGAUUUAAUUGGGAAUUGCUAAAGGGGCGUAGUCAUAAGUUAAGUGACGUGGUGGAACAGCUCAGAAACACAAGAGAAGAUGCUUCUGAGGAGAGAGUAUGCCUCGCAAUGCUCAUCCUGGUAGAGAGCAUAUUAUUGCGGAAGAGCAAAGGAGGGAGUUUUCCUUUGGAAUAUGCGAAAAAUGCACAGGAUAUGACAUAUCCAUGGGGGAAAGAGGCUUACAUUGUGCUCCUGAAGUCAAUUCAAAACGCUGUCGCGAAUCAUUUGGAGAAUAAAUCCAAAUUUGAGUUGCAAGGUUAUCCUCUAGUAUUCCUUCUUUGGAUACUAGAGUCGAUUCCUUUGCUAAGGAAUAAGUUCAGUAAGUGUGUACCAACAGUUGAUGUUCCUGGGCCGACUUACUUGUGUGAAAAAUACACUGAGGUAGAGAAUCCAUCACUUGAUAGGGUUUUACAGGUUGAAGCUGAUACAAAGGUAAGCUUUUCCAAGUAUAUGUUUCUCAGUUUAUUUGGCUUCUUCUUUUUAAUAUGUUUCUCAUUGGUUUUUUUAAAAAUACUCUCAGCUGAAGGUCCAUUGCAUACUACCUUCUAUUCCUCAUGAUCCAGAAGAUGAUAUCUCCAUUGAAACACUGAAAGAUGUAACAAAGAAAGGGUACAAGCUUACAGCCGAUGACUGGGAAAAUAGGUGUGUAGACACAUUUGAAACAUUGGAUGCUCUUAUUCAAAUGAUGGCAAAUAAGGAGACUGGCCAAGCUUCUACUCCGAUUAAUGAGGAUUCAGUAAAUGAAAAAGUUAACAGAAUCAUCGAGGUAAUGGAGGAGAAUCUGAAGAGCAUGAAGGAUCGAAUGUCAUUACUGGAAGAAGAAAACAUGCAUCUUAGAGCCCGUGUGUCAGAGUUGGAAGGAAACAACAAUGUUUUUCCCACUAACGUGACACAACAGCGAUCCAGUGGGACACCUUUAUCUCCAAUGUCUCAC